GCUGAUCAUCCUCUAUCAAUCCUCUGCAACAUCUCUUAGAUGUUCUGAAACUGAUGUGUCAUAUCCGUCUCAGUGAAACCUGAGAUAGACAUGACAGGAUACAAAUGUUUUCACCUAUGCAAGUGUAGCAGUAUAGAGGUGCUUAUUGUCAUUGUUUACAAUGUGCGCCGCUGGGGGCCGCCAAUGAGGUGGGCCGGUAUAAAAGCGGCAGUCCUCCCACUGGUUCUUCCUUUGCGCUCCUAUCAUCGCCUCUGCGUCACUUCCGGGUCGGAGGUCGUCUGGUCCGACAGGGCGACUGCCUGUGUGCUGUUCUGGCCCCCCUGUAUGCGCUGCUGCGUUUGUUGGCUGUGGUAAACGCUGGUGGCUGCAUGGAGCCCUCUCUCCCCCUCCCUCCUCUCGUGUGAGUGUGUGUGUGCCUGCGCUGCGGAAAAGGUAUGUUAUGUGUAUUGUAGCACGCACCGCAUCAUGUUCAGUGUAUUUAGCCAUGCUAAUAGCAUUUUUCUUGGUUAGGUGCUAACUGUAGCCAGCUUAUCGGGCCGCUGCUGCUUUGUCUCCGCUGCUGCUUUGUCUCCUGUUGUGUCUUCUGCUUGCCUCCAUCACGUCUGCCGUUUGUCUCUGCUGCUGCUUGUCCUCACGGCACGGUGGCACGCUGCGGCACUGUAAGCCGCUCCGCAGCUCUGCUUCCGCCAUAGGCACUGUUGCUCUAUUUCACGUCCGGAGCAGGACGGUUGCUCGUCCGCCCGUCACGGGCCGAGACAUUAUUUUUAACCGGGGUUUGGUCCCCCGCAUUUUGAGUGAAUGAGUGUGUGAGAGUGUGGGUUAUAUUCUAUUAGCUUGUUUAUUUUUAUAUUGUUUGGGUUGAACCUGAUUUUGUUUGUCUGUAUAAUUUAUUUGUUAAUUAGGUUAAUUUGAGAGAUUUUGUAUAUGUAAUUGGAUAAUUGUUUGGGGUUUGUUUUCUUUAUUUAGCCUUAAUUUCUUUUUUUGCUUUGUCUAUAUUUGAGUAUUUCAAUUGGGCAGUUAUUAGUUGUUACAUUUUGUUAAGUUUAGACUUGUGAUCUGCCCAUUAAUUACAAUUUUUGUUAAAUUUUGAUUUAUUGAUUUUGUUUGUUUCAUUGCAACCCCACUAAUUUGUUUUAUCAUUCUCCUUUUCAGUUGCUGGAGGCCGGUGGUGGCGGUGCUGGUGUUUGGUGAUGGUAUCCAUCCUUCCGUCUUGUCCGCUGUGUUCCUGGGAGUGGGUUGCUUCACUGAGUGUGUCUGCCACGUGUGCCUGGUGAUUUAAGUUGGUUUCUCUUUUUUUGGUGGAUCCUUCCCCUUCACUAGUCCUUGUCCACUCACUAGGCCUCAGCCCUGAUUAGGUUCUUUCCCCCUCCCUGUGUGAACAUUUUUUUUAAAAGAAAAAUGAUUGUUUAAUAAAAAGUGUAUUUUUUUUAAAACUUGGAACCACGUCUCAUGCCCCUUUGAGUAAACGAACCUGUGUGUCUUGUAUUGAAGAAGUAAUUCCCUGGGUGAAAUUCCCAGGGUGGCGUUGUCGAGCCCUUUUCUUGGUAACAGUAUUGGCUUUAUAUCCUUUCACCUCCACCUCGCCACACAAAUAACAACUGAACAUACAGUAUGCUUGCAUUCAACUCCAGAAGUGAAAAACCUCCAAUUUAACUACACUACAGAGCAAUUGUAAGAAUUCCUACAGUUAUUUAAUAUUACUUUUUCUUAAUAUCACAGAGCUGAAAAAUACCCUUCAGCUCCCGGAGCCAAAGGUGAUGUCCUCAAUCAACUUGCUUUUCUGACCAACAGUUGACCAACAGAAAUAGGGACCAACCAAUUACCAGCCAUGAUAUUCCACAUUUUUAUGAUAAUUGUUAUUAUUUAUAUAUCUAAUAUCUUUGACCUAUCAAUAUUGAUAUCAACAUCGAGAUACACUUCACUUUCAGACUUCUUAAAAAUAAUCAUCAGAAACGUGAAUAUAACAACUCAGUGGGUAACUACAAAUAAUAGAACAGCUACAACUGUCUGUUAAGUUCAGAAAAUGACAUCACCUGUAAUGCAGCCUUUAAUACCAGGAAAUAACAACACUAGUGAUGCUACGAUAUCCAAAUUCUUGCACAAUAUCUAGUCUCAUAUCCUGAUAUCGAUAUAAUAGAUAUAUUGCCCAGACCUGGCCGAUAAAAUAGAAAUAAUUGAAAAAACGUGCUAGUUGGAUGCAGCCACCUCUCUGUCCUGGAGAGGACAUGACAAUUAGUUUGCUUUCAUUACCACUGCAACCUUCAAGUACUAUUUUAAAACUGAGCACCACCAUGCAUUAUAUGUGGAAACUUAAAACAGAAAAGUAUAUGAAACUACCCUGGUGGGAAAAAGAGGAAGAGGUUAUUCAACUUUUUUGUAUUUCACACAAGCAAGAAACAGGACAUUAUUAUGACGACCACUUCUACUAAUAGUCACAGCUAAGCUAAUAUCACUAUCACUAAUAAUGCUGCUGUCAUCAUGAUACUGGUGAUGAUGGUUAUAGUGAUGAAGAUGUACUGCAGGGAUCUUAAGGAACCAUAAAAAUUCUGGCUUUGAUGGUGCUACUGUUAUUCUGUACUGUAUUCUGGAAACUCUACAAAACAGUUGCAUGACAAAAAACAAAAGAUGGUGGAAAGUGAAAAGAUGGUGCUGAAGUAGCAUAUUAUGGUGCAGCACUAUUUUUCUUAAAGGAAAGACCUGCAUCACAGCUGCUAACUGAAGAGGCUGCUAAGCAAUUUGAAAUAGGAACAAGACUCUGCCAAUAAUAAGAAAGGAAAGCAACCACAUAUUUAAGAAUAAUGAACAACGGACCACAGCGAGCUGCUUUUGCAGAACAAGACUGCAUCAGUAUAAUGUCUAAAUGUAAAAUCUUUUGGAACUGCAUACACCGAUUUUGAAGGUUGAGCUUCAUAUUAAAGUUGAAACAAUUAGUGAAUAAAUUAAUUGGUUGACCGACAGAAAAGCAACCAACUUGAUGACUAAUUAACAAUUUAAGUCUUUUUUUUUUCUUUUUUUUUUUUUAAUGGCAAGCAUUACUUUGCUCCAGUCUCUCAAGUGUGAGGAUUUGCUUCUUCUCUUUGUCUUAAUACUUGUGAUGGUGAGCUGAACACCUUCUGGUUUUGGAGAAGCCAUCUGAAGGUGUCACUGUGGGCAAUGAAAAUUGUGAUGGGUCUUAGAAAUGUCAGAUAACGGUGGAAAUUGUGAUGAAUUGGAGAAAUACUAAACAGACCAAUGAAAACUACAAAACAAUGAAAUGGUAAUUAAUUGCAGCCCUGUUACAUAUAAUAACCUCAUCCCAAGCUUUUUAGAAGUUUGGCUCUCAGUCUAAUUGAAGCUUUCCACUCACCAAGAACUACGUAAUCCUAAACCUGCAGUUAUAUAAGAAUUGUGACAGGCAGUUUGGGUUAAAUACAUUCUGCUGUUCAUACAUUAUCCAGUCAGUGUGGUCCACCUCCAUCAGGAGAGAUGACGUAGGUUGUCAUUUAUGUAUGUAUUGUUGAAGCGAUCAACUGAUCAAUUCUAAACUGUCAGUAGGAAGCACUUAACUCGAAUCGAUUCUAACGAGACAGUGUGAUCACGUUACAGCUGGUUGAUGGAGAAUAAAAGUAGACCAAUGUCUGAGAAAGAAUCCUCUGCCAUACUCCUAUACGUCUCAUAUCAACACCACUCUGCACUGCAGGUGUGUCAGGCAGGCGCACACUGUACUUAAGUAAAGAAUACAUCAGAAACAGUGUUCCUAAAAAGUUUGGCGGCUCUGACAGCAGUAGUUCAAAUCAGACACUUGCUUUCACACAUCUCCUGAACCAUAAGACUUACACAUUUUGUAUGAAAACAGACCAAACCCUUCUGCUGGGUUUUUCCAAAUAAUAAUAUAUAUGAAAAUAAAUUAUCCUGUAGUGUCAUGUUAAAACAGUACUAUUUGAAAAAAAUAGACACAUAAACAGUCUGAAGAAGUUCUGUACAAACCAAAUUUGAGAACGUAUGGUCUAAUCAGGUGUAUACCAUCCAGAGCACUAUGUCACCCUUAACCUGACCAGAGCAUUGAGGUCUGUCCUCGCCAAGCUGACAUGUGGAAUCUUGCCUCUGGCGGUGGAAACUAUCUGAUCUGGGAGAGGUCGUAAAUGAAAUGCAGUUUUUAUUGUACUGUCCUAUGUAUCACAAUCUUAGAUAUAGGCUUUACCUUAAAAUGUUCGCAGAAUAUCCUCAUUUGUUUUUUAUGUCUGAUGAAGGUAGACAUCAGCACCUGUUUAUAGACAGUGUUUCACUGAGCUCAGUUUGUGUUAAAAAUCAAUUAACAGCCUCGGAGGCUGCUUUAUAUUUGACGCGUUAAAGGCGCAGUCUGUGCCUCAGAUCAAAUGCCUAUGUUAUGUUGUAUAGCAGAAAUGUCUGAGGAGCAGGAUUGUGCUCAUAUCUGCUUUGACGGCACAGCUGUGGCUCAGGAGGUAAAGUGGGCUGUCCAUUUGUGAGGAGGUUGGCAGUUAAAUCCCCCGUUCCUCCUCCUCUGCAUGGCAAAAUAUCCUUGGACAAGAUACUGAUCCCCAAACUGACUGACUAGAUAAAGCCUGGGUCUUUAACAGGGGGUCUGCGAUGACUAGGGGGUCCUCAGAGUAACUGCAGGGCGACUGCCAAAUUAUUGUCUCAUCAUUUAAUUCAAGU